AUCGGAUCCAAGAAGAUUUAACAUCAUCCAGGACACUUUGUGGGCUCUAUUUAGAUGAUCAGUCAACACAAGGGAAAUACUUGAGUUACUUCCAACAGGGGUCUAUUCGUCAGUCAAAACGUUAAUCUUGGAGGAGCAAAGGUUUGUUAAUGAGCUGUCAUGCUCGAUAGGCGAAGCCCACGGGUUUUGAAAAAAAAACGAAAUAAAUAAAUAAUAAUAAUAAUAAUUAAAUUAAAUAAAUAAAUAAUUAAAUAAAUAAAUAAAUAUAAGAAAAAAUCUUGGACUUGG
rnacentral:lncRNA from 1 species